UACAAAGGUAUACUUUUUCCUUCUUUUUGUUUUUGUUUUUUGUUAUGUUUAAUGAUGCUGACAUUCCAAUUCUUAAUUCAGGCUGCUCGAAAACCUCCUUUAACUCCCAUCAAAAUCCAAAAAACCAUAGAGGCCCCCGUUAUAAUAGAAUCUGACGAAAAGGAUUUGUCGUCGGUGCUCGACCUAACUUCCAGGAAGAGGAAGCAGCAACCGAAGGUCAC
rnacentral:lncRNA from 1 species